rnacentral:rRNA from 1 species
GACGUAGGGCGCGAGCGUUGUCCGGAUUUAUUGGGCGUGAAGAGCUCGUAGGCGGCUUGUUGCGUCGACUGUGAAAACCCGCGGCUUAACUGCGGGCUUGCAGUUGAUACGGGCAGACUAGAGUGCGGUAGGGGAGAUUGGAAUUCCUGGUGUAGCGGUGGAAUGCGCAGAUAUCAGGAGGAACACCAAUGGCGAAGGCAGAUCUCUGGGCCGUAACUGACGCUGAGGAGCGAAAGCAUGGGGAGCGAACAGG